AGUACGGUUUUCGGAGGGCUCUUACUCAGACUCACGUCGCGCUCCUCGCAGUUGGACUGGUGGGAAGUGGGAACACUGGAGACCUGAUUUCGAGCUGACGCUAGCGUCGCGGCCGCCGAACAGUCCUGGAUUCUGAGCCUGCCAUCCAAGGAACUCAGGAGGAGGAGUUGACCGUCUUCGUUCCUAACCACCCUGGGACAACUUCAGCAUGUCUCAGGCCACCAAGAGGAAGCAUGUGGUGAAGGAGGUGCUAGGAGAGCACAUAGUGCCCUCCGACCAGCAGCAGAUUGUCAGGGUACUCAGGACCCCAGGGAACAAUCUGCAUGAGGUGGAGACAGCCCAAGGGCAGCGCUUCCUGGUGAGCAUGCCCUCCAAAUACCGCAAGAACAUCUGGAUCAAGAGAGGUGAGAGGAUUACUCCUGUAAUCCCAGCACUUUGAGAGGCUGAGGUGGGAGGAUCGCUUGAGACCAGCCUGGGCAGUAUAAUGAGACCUUGUCUCUACAAAAAGAAAAAAAUUAGUUGGGCACCUGCCUGUGAUCCUAGCUACUCAGGAGCCUGC
rnacentral:sRNA from 1 species